GCUUAGCUAAAUCCAUCGAUAUUUUUCAUAGGAAAUUAUUCUAACAACAAAAUAAAGAUAAAAAUGUAACGCCUCUGAUUGCAUGGGAUAAAUUUUGUACUCCCAAAUCGCAGGAUGACCUUGCUAUAAGAAAAACGCUUCCUAAGAAUAAAACUUUUAUAGCAAAGCCGGGUUAGAAAAUACUUACGGAACCUACGAACUUUUGGGUGAAACUAAUAUAUAUAGCAAAUACUUCUCUAAUGGAUCUUAGAUCUCAAAAGCUCAAGUAAUAAUCAAUUCGUUAAUGGAUCUUAAAACUUGAAACCCCUCUCAUAAAACCCAAAUCCCAAAAACCAAAAGAUAGAAAAAACAAUCAGGCCCAUUCUUUCCUCAACCCUCACCCUUCUACUAUUUUAGGGUUUCUCUGCUUUUCCCAUUAAAACCUACCAGUUUUCUCGCUAUAAACCUCGCCGCUUCAUCUACGUGCGCAGUCCAAACCAAAAAACUGAAAUUGCACAUAUGGUGUCGCGUAUGCUUCUGAAGCCACUCACCGUCUUAUUUUCAUUAAGUAAACAUUAUACGGGACAGACAAACGAAAGGAAGUAGUAGGGAUAAAAGUAUCCGAAAAUUCGAGAAUCUCAUUGGGUUGGUGUUUAUUCUUAUGCUCGAAAGUCGAAACGAUGAAGGUUGGGUAGUAUCUGGUCAUUAAGUUUUCUUCUGCUUUGAAUGUGCUGUUACCAUACGAAGGUGAUUUUUUUUUUUUUUUUUGGAUAAGAUACUCAUACUCUGCAACUUUUUCUCUAAAACUAUAGAAAUUUUCAGCCUUUAAAAUUUUUCUGGGUGUUAUCUUUGUUUCUUUUACUGAUUUGUCUUUUAUUCGACUAUUAUAUGCAAUGAUGAUAAAUGGAUCUACCCAGCUCAUUAUGAGGUCUUCUUUGUGGAGAUCAGGGAAUUGAAAUAUUUCCAACAUUUAUCUGAGUUUUUUCACCUAAUGUAUGAACUUUAAUUUUCUGUUUUUAACAAUAUGAUUUAUUGUUUAUCAUAGUUUCUCCAGUUUCAAAAUUUUGAUUUGGCCAGUUCCCAGUGAUGCAAGCUAUACCAUGCUAAUUCUGAUCAACCUGUGAUCGAAUAACUUUCUCUAUUGAUUAGCUGAGGGUUCUGUUUCAAUUCUUUUCUAGAUUGCUAAAAAAAACAAUUUGUGCAACUUUUUAACUAGCUGAUUGUAGAAUUGCAUCAGUUGCGAAAGACUACUAAUUUUUUGUUAUCAGAAUCAACAAACCAAUUAGUAGCAGAUUUGAGGGAAGUACUUGAAGAGGUGUCUCCUAUUCUUCCCACGUCGACUGAUUGUUUCUCACUGCUUCAUCUACUACAGCUUCAAGAUUAUGGCAUAUUGGCAUAUAUAUGCCAAAUUGAGUUAUUUCUGAAAUUUCGUGGUAAAUCCAUUGUUUUAGAAUUUAGUCUUCAGUCAUUUUGGUUUGAGCCAGACCGAGAUUGAAGAGAUGAGUAGUUGCUUGAGAAGUUGUCACUGCAAAUAAUUUUGUUUGAUUAAAUUUUGUCUAGUUUCGGCCCUUAGUUGCUACUAAUUUGAUGGAUUCGAUGUUUUAGGUUGGUCCUAUUCUAGGAGCUUAAGUUUUUCUUGUUUAAAAAAAAAUAAAAAUUAAUUUGAUGGUUUCGUAA